AUACGAAAGGUGCAAGCGUUGUUCGGAUUUACUGGGCGUAAAGAGAGUGUAGGUUGUUUAUUAAGUCGGAUGUGAAAUCGCGGGGCUCAACCUCGGAACUGCAUUCGAUACUGGUAGACUAGAGUUCGGGAGGGGUAAGCGGAAUUCCGUGUGUAGCAGUGAAAUGCGUAGAUAUACGGAGGAACACCUGAGGCGAAGGCGGCUUACUGGACCGACACUGACACUGAGACUCGAAAGCGUGGGUAGCAAACAGGAUUAGAUACCCCGGUAGUCC
rnacentral:rRNA from 1 species